CCUACGGGCGGCUGCAGUGGGGAAUAUUGGACAAUGGGGGGAACCCUGAUCCAGCGACGCCGCGUGAGUGAAGAAGGAUUUCGGUAUGUAAAGCUCUAUCAGCAGGGAAGAAAAUGACGGUACCUGACUAAGAAGCCCCGGCUAACUACGUGCCAGCAGCCGCGGUAAUACGGAGGGGGCAAGCGUUAUCCGGAUUUACUGGGUGUAAAGGGAGCGUAGACGGUGCAGUAAGUCUGAUGGGAAAGGUCGGGGCCCAACCCCGGGACUGCAUUUGAAACUGUUUAACUGGAGAAGAGGAGAGGUAAGCGGAAUUCCUAGUGUAGCGGUGAAAUGCGUAGAUAUUAGGCAGAACACCAGUUGCGAAGGCGGCAUACUGGACUGUAACUGACGUUGAGGCUCGAAAGCGUGGGGAGCAAACAGGAUUAGAUACCCCAGUAGUC
rnacentral:rRNA from 1 species